GAUGAACGCUGGCGGCGUGCCUAAUACGUGCAAGUCGAGCGAACAGACGAGGAGCUUGCUCCUCUGACGUUAGCGGCGGACGGGUGAGUAACACGUGGAUAACCUACCUAUAAGACUGGGAUAACUUCGGGAAACCGGAGCUAAUACCGGAUAAUAUAUUCAACCGCAUGGUUCAAUAGUGAAAGACGGUUUUGCUGUCACUUAUAGAUGGAUCCGCGCCGCAUUAGCUAGUUGGUAAGGUAACGGCUUACCAAGGCAACGAUGCGUAGCCGACCUGAGAGGGUGGUCGGCCACACUGGAACUGAGACACGGUCCAGACUCCUACGGGAGGCAGCAGUAGGGAAUCUUACGCAAUGGGCGAAAGCCUGACGGAGCAACGCCGCGUGAGUGAUGAAGGUCUUCGGAUCGUAAAACUCUGUUAUUAGGGAAGAACAAAUGUGUAAGUAACUAUGCACGUCUUGACGGUACCUAAUCAGAAAGCCACGGCUAACUACGUG
rnacentral:rRNA from 1 species